UACGUAGGGUGCAAGCGUUGUCCGGAAUUAUUGGGCGUAAAGAGCUCGUAGGCGGUCUGUCGCGUCUGCUGUGAAAACUCGGGGCUUAACCCCGGGCCUGCAGUGGGUACGGGCAGACUAGAGUGUGGUAGGGGAGACUGGAAUUCCUGGUGUAGCGGUGAAAUGCGCAGAUAUCAGGAGGAACACCGGUGGCGAAGGCGGGUCUCUGGGCCGGAACUGACGCUGAGGAGCGAAAGCGUGGGGAGCGAACAGG
rnacentral:rRNA from 1 species